rnacentral:lncRNA from 1 species
UAUUUGGGAUAAUAGGACAUGUGUCAUCUUGUUUAUUGUUCGACUAAGUUAGAAAGAUACUUUUAAUAUGGCAAAAUACAGUUUAUUCUGGACAAAAAUCAUACAAUUUACGUCAAAAGAUCUUAUACCGUUUAUCUAUGUUGUUCAGAUUUUUGAAAAGCUCCAAAAAUGUAUUAUUUUAAAAACGUUCAAUGUAUAUCAUAUUUUAAAUAUAUAAGACUUUAU